rnacentral:rRNA from 1 species
UACGAAGGGGGCUAGCGUUGCUCGGAAUGACUGGGCGUAAAGGGCGCGUAGGCGGUUUGGACAGUCAGAUGUGAAAUUCCUGGGCUCAACCUGGGGGCUGCAUUUGAUACGUUCGGACUAGAGUGGGGAAGAGGGUCGUGGAAUUCCCAGUGUAGAGGUGAAAUUCGUAGAUAUCGGGAGGAACACCGGUGGCGAAGGCGGCGACCUGGGUCGAUACUGACGCUGAGGUGCGAAAGCGUGGGGAGCAAACAGG